rnacentral:rRNA from 1 species
GGUUAAGCGACUAAGCGUACACGGUGGAUGCCCUGGCAGUCAGAGGCGAUGAAGGACGUGCUAAUCUGCGAUAAGCGUCGGUAAGGUGAUAUGAACCGUUAUAACCGGCGAUUUCCGAAUGGGGAAACCCAGUGUGUUUCGACACACUAUCAUUAACUGAAUCCAUAGGUUAAUGAGGCGAACCGGGGGAACUGAAACAUCUAAGUACCCCGAGGAAAAGAAAUCAACCGAGAUUCCCCCAGUAGCGGCGAGCGAACGGGGAGCAGCCCAGAGCCUGAAUCAGUGUGUGUGUUAGUGGAAGCGUCUGGAAAGGCGCGCGAUACAGGGUGACAGCCCCGUACACAAAAAUGCACAUGCUGUGAGCUCGAUGAGUAGGGCGGGACACGUGGUAUCCUGUCUGAAUAUGGGGGGACCAUCCUCCAAGGCUAAAUACUCCUGACUGACCGAUAGUGAACCAGUACCGUGAGGGAAAGGCGAAAAGAACCCCGGCGAGGGGAGUGAAAAAGAACCUGAAACCGUGUACGUACAAGCAGUGGGAGCACGCUUAGGCGUGUGACUGCGUACCUUUUGUAUAAUGGGUCAGCGACUUAUAUUCUGUAGCAAGGUUAACCGAAUAGGGGAGCCGAAGGGAAACCGAGUCUUAACUGGGCGUUAAGUUGCAGGGUAUAGACCCGAAACCCGGUGAUCUAGCCAUGGGCAGGUUGAAGGUUGGGUAACACUAACUGGAGGACCGAACCGACUAAUGUUGAAAAAUUAGCGGAUGACUUGUGGCUGGGGGUGAAAGGCCAAUCAAACCGGGAGAUAGCUGGUUCUCCCCGAAAGCUAUUUAGGUAGCGCCUCGUGAAUUCAUCUCCGGGGGUAGAGCACUGUUUCGGCAAGGGGGUCAUCCCGACUUACCAACCCGAUGCAAACUGCGAAUACCGGAGAAUGUUAUCACGGGAGACACACGGCGGGUGCUAACGUCCGUCGUGAAGAGGGAAACAACCCAGACCGCCAGCUAAGGUCCCAAAGUCAUGGUUAAGUGGGAAACGAUGUGGGAAGGCCCAGACAGCCAGGAUGUUGGCUUAGAAGCAGCCAUCAUUUAAAGAAAGCGUAAUAGCUCACUGGUCGAGUCGGCCUGCGCGGAAGAUGUAACGGGGCUAAACCAUGCAC